rfam:Oreochromis niloticus linkage group LG17, whole genome shotgun sequence.
GGUUCUAUAGUGUAGUGGUAAUCACAUCUGCUUUACACGCAGAAGGUCCUGGGUUCAAUCCCCAGUGGAACCA